AUCAACGCUGGCGGCGUGCCUAACCCAUGCCAGUCGAACGCGAAAGCCCCGCAAGGGGUAAGUAGAGUGGCACACGGGUGAGUAACACGUGGGUGACCUGCCUUCGAGUGGGGGAUAACGUCCCGAAAGGGACGCUAAUACCGCAUGACAUCCUGCUUUUGAAAAAGCGGAGAUCAAAGCUGGGGAUCGCAAGACCUAGCGCUUGAAGAGGGGCCCGCGCCUGAUUAGCUAGUUGGUGAGGUAACGGCUCACCAAGGCGACGAUCAGUAUCCGGCCUGAGAGGGCGGACGGACACACUGGGACUGAGACACGGCCCAGACUCCUACGGGAGGCAGCAGUGGGGAAUUGUUCGCAAUGGGCGCAAGCCUGACGACGCAACGCCGCGUGGAGGACGAAGAUCUUCGGGUCGUAAACUCCUGUCGAGCGGGACGAACGCUUCGCGGAUGAAUAAUCCGCGGAAUUGACGGUACCGCUAAAGGAAGCCCCGGCUAACUCCGUG
rnacentral:rRNA from 1 species